CUUCGCUCCGCCGCGCUCCCGGCUUAAGCCGGCGGCUCCGGGGUCCUGCCCCGACUUUUCGUACUUUCUCCCUGCUCCGUGCCUAACUCAAUUCUUAACCAAAUCCUGAAAGCACAGGAGUUUGGUUGGGGCUGGGACAGGCGCAGGGACCCAAUUCUCCCCAAGCUCUGCGGGCCACGGCCGAAACCACCCCGGGGAAAGCCGUAGGGGCGCGCCGGCCCACGCGGGACCGAGUUCAGAGGACUCUGCACCGUCAGUUUCAGGGCCGACGUUUAUAGAGCGCUUCCCACGUGCCGCACGCGGUUCUAAGAGCUUGGCUUGUAUUAAUUCGUUUAAUCCUCCCAGCAACACUGUUAGGCAUUAUAAUGAUCCCAAUCGUAGAAGUCAAAAAACCGAGGUGCAGAAACAAAGUAACUUGUUCCAGAUCACGUAGGUGGUAAGUGCAGGGUAUUCUGGAGCAGGAGGGAGGGUGGAAAGCACAGAAAAAAAAAAAUGAACUGGGAAAAGCGUUGACGUGCUUAGUAUUUCAUACUGCAGGUUCCACUUUCAGAGCCAGGCUGCGAGCCUACAGGGUAGAGUAGGGGUGCCGGGCCCCCUGGUGUCCUGGCGUACUCGGGGGGAAGACAGUCGCCGGCCGCCGGGCUCCUGCCACGCUGUGGCGCGCGUGGAAGGUGAGGGUCCUCCGCUGUCCCGCCGCCUCCCACAGGGCGGCCCAGAGCCUGCAUCUUUUGCAAAGGGAACAUAGGAUGGAGAGAAAGAAAGUCCCGCCUGAAAUAAGCAAACGCGGUGGCGGCUUUGCGGUCGGCCACGUCCGCUAGGAACCCGCGAGGCGCCCUUGCGAGCUGCGCAGUCGAGUUUUCUUUCCACUGCACUUUCACGUUCUGCCGGAUGGGAUUUCGGGGGCAGAAGACUCCUCGAAUGCAGACCGGCUGUCUGUGGCUGGACCCCCAGUGCUGCAAAGGAAUCUGAUAUACCUGGAGGAACCAACCUCGAGGUCCAACCAAGGGAAACAUCCCCUCUCCUUCUCCCUCUCCCAGAGCUCCCUCUUUGCAGUGGAGCCCUAGAGAACCAACCCACAGCCCGAAAACACCCGGAGACCAGGGACCCCGGUCCUCAUAGGCAGGCUCACACUUGUAGACAAUGGACCCAUAUUUUCCUCAUUAAAGACAAACCCAAAUCCGCCUAUGAGAGAUUACCCAGGGAAUGAGAGAUCCCAAGUACCGUGAAACUUAGAGGGUGCCUUAAAACUAAAGUGUUUUUAUUGGAUUGAACCAAAAAUAACUAUAAAUGUGUGUAUGUCAGAAUGUUAAUACCUUUUUAUAACCGUUAUUUCACCUUUAUAAUAACUGUGGGAGGGGGCAUCAUUUUUUCUUACUUUUGUUUUCCUGAUCCCCAUUUUACCAUAAAACAGAAACAAGCCCAGAAACAUUAUUAAGUGACUUAAGGUAAUCAGGAGCAGGUGCACUUCUCAGACUGUAAACGAGGGCAAUGUGACCACCGCAUCGCCACUCAUCUGUGCAGGGUGGCGUUGGGGGUGAGGGAAAUGCUAAGAGCACAACAUGGAUUGUUGGGGGGCAAAAACAACAAAUAAAUCAAUAAACAACUAUUUGUGAAAUAUGUGUACGGAGUCCUCGGGGCAGGGGGCUGGAUAUAAAGCCAAACUUAUCUCCCAUGCUCCGUGGUCCACUCCCCAUGACUCCUUCACCUCUCCAGCCUAGUCUGAAAUUCUCCCUCAGGCACUUUCAGAUGAUAUGAAAAAUUCUUCCACAGCUAGCCACUGUCAGGAAAAAAAUGAUUUGGAAACUGUUGUACGGUGCACAUGGACAAUGCAUACCUGCAGAUAUUUUCAAAGGACACGUGCUCUUGUGAUACAUUAUGUUGUCGGGCAUAUAUGGAAGGCAUCCUGGGAUUAACUCUGGUGACUGAAGGAAACAGCACUCCUUUUCACCGUUUACAGCCACUGCGUGUACCCGGCCUGCAGUGAGAGUGGGGGAGGGAACAUUUGCCAGCCUUUCUGGAGAUCCAGCAGCCAGAAGAAAGCCAAGAAACUCAGAGCUGGCACCUCCAGGAGCUCCGGGACAACUUACAAAUGAAGACACAGAGCCCCCGUCCCUUGCUUCAGAGAACCAAAUAACGGAACUGAAUGAUCGUUUCUUCAGCAAAGCCUAAAGACGCUUGCGUCCCGCGGAGAGAGGAUGCUGGAGGACAAAAGAAAUAUUUGGACGUCAGAGCUGAUUUAUAUUUUUGGAAGAGCUACGUUUCCUUUUCU
rnacentral:lncRNA from 1 species